UACGAAGGGUGCUAGCGUUGCUCGGAAUUACUGGGCGUAAAGCGCACGUAGGCGGCUCUUUAAGUCGGGGGUGAAAUCCUGGAGCUCAACUCCAGAACUGCCUUCGGUACUGAGGAGCUUGAGUCCGGGAGAGGUGAGUGGAACUGCGAGUGUAGAGGUGAAAUUCGUAGAUAUUCGCAAGAACACCAGUGGCGAAGGCGGCUCACUGGCCCGGUACUGACGCUGAGGUGCGAAAGCGUGGGGAGCAAACAGG
rnacentral:rRNA from 1 species